UACGUAGGGGGCUAGCGUUGUCCGGAAUCAUUGGGCGUAAAGAGCGUGUAGGCGGUCCGGUAAGUCCGCUGUGAAAGUCGGGGGCUCAACCCUCGAAUGCCGGUGGAUACUGUCGGGCUAGAGUGCGGAAGAGGCGAGUGGAAUUCCUGGUGUAGCGGUGAAAUGCGCAGAUAUCAGGAGGAACACCAAUGGCGAAGGCAGCACUCUGGGACGUGACUGACGCUGAGACGCGAAAGCGUGGGGAGCAAACGGG
rnacentral:rRNA from 1 species